rnacentral:misc_RNA from 1 species
GAUGAAGAACGUAGCGAAAUGCGAUAAGUAGUGUGAAUUGCAGAAUUCAGUGAAUCAUCGAAUCUUUGAACGCACAUUGCGCCCUCUGGUAUUCCGGAGGGCAUGCCUGUUCGAGCGUCAUUAAAACUACUCAAGCUAAGGUUUUACCUUCUGCUUGGUCUUGGGUUUGAGGAUUCAAAAUCCUCUCUCCGAAAUCCAGUGGCGAAUUGUUUGAGCUGUAGACGUAGUAAAUCAUUCUACCCGUUGCAAGCGAGAAUAAUAUUCAGCCAUAAACCCCAUACUUUUCUAGUUUGACCUCGGAUCAGGUAGGGAUACCCGCUGAACUUAAGCAUAUCAAUAAGCGGAGGA